rnacentral:rRNA from 1 species
AUUCCAGCUCCAAUAGCGUAUAUUAAAGUUGUUGCAGUUAAAAAGCUCGUAGUUGGAUUUCUGGCAGGGCGUCGAUGUCCGCUUGUUGCGAGUGCAGAGAUGCCCUACCAUCCUUCUGUUAACUGGCAGCGGCCUUCACUGGCCGGGUCAGGGCUCAGAUAUUUUACCUUGAGAAAAUUAGAGUGUUUCAGGCAGGCUUGCGCCGGAAUACAUUAGCAUGGAAUAAUAGAAUAGGACUUUGGCCUCUUCUGUUGGUCUGAGGGGUUAGAGUAAUGAUUAAUAGGGAUAGUUGGGGGCAUUAGUACUUAACUGUCAGAGGUGAAAUUCUCGGAUUUGUUAAAGACUAACUUAUGCGAAAGCAUUUGCCAAGGAUGUUUUCAUCA